UUUAACAUCGUCAAACCCACAAGCCGGUGGUCUUCCAUUAUCAGGAUCAUAAAAGCGGGGUGUGUGUGUGUGUGUGUGUGUGUGUGUGUGUGUGUGUGUGUUUGCUUUGAUAAUGUUUUGUGAGGGAAAUUCAGCUUCUUGGUGUACCACAUACUGCCCAAGUCUCGUAAUCACACUGUAUGAAAAUGGAUGGAAGGUGUAAGAUAACAUGCUUUGCUUCAACAGCUGCAAUCUGAAGUAUCCUACCUCUCUGCUGAAGCAAAUUUAGCUCGAAGAAUAUGUACUCUGUGUUCUUGUGCCACAUUUAAAAGCAGCAUUCAGAUCAGCUUAUUUGGUUCUUUUGUAUUGCAUGGGAGCAAUGGACAAGCCACAAGCAAAAUUUACAAAAGAGUUGCAGUUGCAGAUCACCUUGGCAACAUCAAGGUGACACAGCUGUCUUCUCCCAGCAGCGAGAGGCAAUGUUGUGAUCAUUCCUCUGAACCUCCUUCUCUCGUGGAAAGUGUAAUUGACACACAAUGCACACCCAGGUGCGGUAGUCCCUACCGUUACAAAUAAGUUUGCUGUGGCACAUUACCUGGUUGUGUAUCAUCAAGUCAAGACCGUAUCAGUCCAAGGGAAAAUAUAAUGAACACAAAUGAGUGCUCAGUUUCAGACAAAUGGCUGAAUUUUCCAGGUUUUCUGUACAGUGAACAAAUUACCACAUGGAGACAAAAGUUGCUGCAGAAGUGGCCUUCGUGUUCAAGUAAGACAGAAAGGCAAAUUUCUGAUUUUUUUUUUUUAUCAUGAUGCUAUUACACCAUCCUCAGGAUAAGAUGUAGCUAGAGCACACAUUCUCAAAGUCUGUUAAUGUUUAUAGUGCUGUAGGUCAGGUUUAUGACCUGCCUUGCUAAUUCCCGUGCAUCUUGCUCCUCUGAUGAAGUUGAGCUUCUGGGAUUGUCACGGCCUUGGUUUACUGCCUCCUCACUGCUGGUAUCCUCUGAACUUUGUAAUACAGGACUGGCAGGUUCAGACCAACUGCUGCUCGAGCCAAACCCAAAGGUCUCAUCGAGACAAAUGAAAGGGCUGUUCUUGUAACUGUCAUUCAACUUAUGAAAGUCCCAGCCAGGGUAAUAAAUGAAAAUUGCGCAGAAAUGUUUGCAUGGAAGUCUUCACAUGUGCAAUUAGGCUUUGCAGAAUUCACCACAUAGUAACAAUCCUUGGCCUCAGCACAUUCUACACAAAAUAAUCCCUCGCCCAUUUAUUUCACUGAGCUUUCGGUAA